AUACAGAGGGUGCAAGCGUUAUUCGGAAUUACUGGGCGUAAAGCGCGCGUAGGCGGAUGAUUAAGUCAGUUGUGAAAGCCCUGGGCUCAACCUAGGAACUGCAUCUGAUACUGGUCAUCUAGAGUUUAAGAGAGGGAAGUGGAAUUCCAGGUGUAGCAGUGAAAUGCGUAGAUAUCUGGAGGAACAUCAGUGGCGAAGGCGACUUCCUGGCUUAAAACUGACGCUGAGGUGCGAAAGCGUGGGUAGCGAACGGGAUUAGAAACCCUAGUAGUCC
rnacentral:rRNA from 1 species